CAGUUUGUAGCAAUACAGAUGGGUGCACGGCGCACGGGUGCGUAACACGUGGGCAAUCUGCCCUCCGAUGGGGAAUAACCCCGCGAAAGCGGGGCUAAUUCCGCAUAACAUUCCCUGGACCUCGGUUAAGGGAUUCAAAGUCCGCCUCACGGCGGACGUCGAAGGAGGAGCCCGCGCCCGAUUAGCUAGUUGGUGAGGUAAUGGCUCACCAAGGCAAUGACCGGUAGCUGGUCUGAGAGGAUGGCCAGCCACACUGGAACUGAGACACGGUCCAGACUCCUACGGGAGGCAGCAGUGGGGAAUCUUGCGCAAUGGGCGAAAGCCUGACGCAGCGACGCCGCGUGGGGGAUGAAGCUUCUCGGA
rnacentral:rRNA from 1 species